AUUGAACGCUGGCGGCAGGCCUAACACAUGCAAGUCGAGCGAGCGGCGGACGGGUGAGUAAUGUCUGGGAAACUGCCUGAUGGAGGGGGAUAACUACUGGAAACGGUAGCUAAUACCGCAUACCAUCAGAUGUUCCCAGAUGGGCUUAGCUAGUAGGUGGGGUAACGGCUCACCUAGGCGACGAUCCCUAGCUGGUCUGAGAGGAUGACCAGCCACAGUGGAACUGAGACACGGCCCAGAUUCCUACGGGAGGCAGCAGGGGGGAAUAUUGAACAAUGGGCGCAAGCCGGAUGCAGCAAUGCCGGGUGUGUGAAGAAGGCCUUGGGGUUGUAAGGCACUUUCAGCGGGGAGGCGUUACCCGCAGAAGAAGCACCGGCUAACUCCGUGCCAGCAGACGCGGUAAUUC
rnacentral:rRNA from 1 species